GAACAUGCAAUACAGGGAAACCCUUCGCCUUCAACACGCUAAAAUGUAUUAAUAAUGUACGUAUGUAAAUGGUUGGGUUUAGAAACUUUUUCCCCCCUUUUUCUCUCAUCCUCAUUCAUAUUAUCACCCUUCUUUCUUCCUUCCUUUUUUCCUCUCUCAAUGAUGUUACAAGUUGGUACAGGUAAGAGUAUGAUAUACAUAUUAUACUUGUUAUGGAAGGGUUUCAAUUUUAUUAUUUAUUUAUUAAUUCUGCCUUCUCAAUAGCAAUGGUUUGCUGUUUAGGGCUAUCAUUAUUGAGGAAUCUGAGGAGUUUUGGUUGUGAAAAAGUGGCAGUUAUUAUAGCAUUAGAAAA
rnacentral:lncRNA from 1 species